rnacentral:lncRNA from 1 species
CAAAACAACAGUGUGUGAAGUAGCUGCCACAGCUGCCGUCAAAAUGGCUGCAGGAAAAUUCCAGGGACCUGCCCUGGGGGAGCCCCGAGCACAAACUCUUAUUUCCCGGCUCUGCCAGCUUGAGGUGGAAACAACACGGAAAUGACACUUGCCCUAUAAUUGAGGCACUUCCUGGAAAACCAUAAUUGACCAGCCACAUCAUAAUUACCUGCCACCGUUUUCUCCAUUUGGAACCCUUCCUUCUGUGAGUUCUAUUCUUAAAUUCCUUCCCCUCCUUGAGAAACAAUACAAAAC